AUGAACGCUAGCGACAGGCCUAACACAUGCAAGUCAGGGGCAGCACAAGGAGCAAUCUGAGGUGGCGACCGGCGCACGGGUGAGUAACACGUAUGCAACCUGCCUGUAAGCGGGGAAUAACCCGUUGAAAGACGGACUAAUACCGCAUAAUACUAAAUUACUGCAUGGUAAUUAUUUAAACAUUUAUGGCUUACAGAUGGGCAUGCGCAUGAUUAGCUAGUUGGAGAGGUAACGGCUCCCCAAGGCAACGAUCAUUAGGGGUUCUGAGAGGAAGGUCCCCCACACUGGUACUGAGACACGGACCAGACUCCUACGGGAGGCAGCAGUGAGGAAUAUUGGUCAAUGGACGAGAGUCUGAACCAGCCAAGUCGCGUGCAGGAAGAAUGUCCUAUGGAUUGUAAACUGCUUUUGCAGGGGAAUAAAGUGCAUCACGUGUGAUGUUUUGUAUGUACUCUGCGAAUAAGGAUCGGCUAACUCCGUGCCAGCCGCCGC
rnacentral:rRNA from 1 species